rnacentral:rRNA from 1 species
CCUCCGGGGGGCAGCGGUCGGGAAUCUUCCACCAUGGGCGAAAGCCUGAUGGAGCCCCUCCUCUUUUUUUACGAAGGUCUUCGGAUCGUAAAACCCUGUUGUUAGAGAGGAAAGUGCGUGAGAGUAACUGUUCACGUUUCGACGGUAUCUAACCAGAAAGCCACGGCUAACUACGUGCCAGCAGCCGCGGUAAUACGUAGGUGGCAAGCGUUAUCCGGAUUUAUUGGGCGUAAAGGGAACGCAGGCGGUCUUUUAAGUCUGAUGUGAAAGCCUUCGGCUUAACCGGAGUAGUGCAUUGGAAACUG